rnacentral:rRNA from 1 species
GGACCAAGGAGUCUAACAUGUACGCAAGUCAUUGAGAAUGUAAAACUCAAAGGCGUAAUGAAAGUGAAGAUUUGUCUUGUUACAAAUUGAGGAGAGAUCAUGGCAAGACUUGGAAUUCUGUAAAGUUUGACAAGUACUGAAUUGUAUGCGCAUCUCCUGGACGUCUCAACCUUCGAAGGUGGGGCGUACCUAGAGCGUACACGUUGGGACCCGAAAGAUGGUGAACUAUGCCUGGUCAGAACGAAGUCAGGGGAAACCCUGAUGGAGGUUCGUAGCGAUUCUGACGUGCAAAUCGAUCGUCGGAACUGGGUAUAGGGGCGAAAGACUAAUCGAACCAUCUAGUAGCUGGUUCCCUCCGAAGUUUCCCUCAGGAUAGCUGGCGCUUAUACCAGUCUCAUCCGGUAAAGCGAAUGAUUAGAGGCCUUGGGGCCGAAACGACCUCAACCUAUUCUCAAACUUUAAAUGGGUGAGAAGUCAGGCUUGCUUGAUCGAAGCUCUGACAAUGGAUGGUGAGUGCCAAGUGGGCCACUCUUGGUAAGCA